CAGUAGCCGCGGGAAUACCGAGGGUGCGAGCGUUAAUCGGAUUUACUGGGCGUAAAGCGUGCGUAGGCGGCUAAUUGAGUCGGAUGUGAAAUCCCCGAGCUUAACUUGGGAAUUGCAUUCGAUACUGGUUAGCUAGAGUGUGGGAGAGGAUGGUAGAAUUCCAGGUGUAGCGGUGAAAUGCGUAGAGAUCUGGAGGAAUACCGAUGGCGAAGGCAGCCAUCUGGCCUAAUACUGACGCUGAGGUACGAAAGCAUGGGGAGCAAACAGGAUUAGAUACCCGGGUAGUCCCUGUCUCUUAUAC
rnacentral:rRNA from 1 species